rnacentral:misc_RNA from 1 species
UGGGCUUGACAUCUACGAGCCCCGAAGGGGGGCCCCUGUUUCCAGAGGCUUUCCCGUAGAUGUCAAGCCCAGGUAAGGUUCUUCGCGUUGCUUCGAAUUAAACCACAUGCUCCACCGCUUGUGCGGGCCCCCGUCAAUUCCUUUGAGUUUCAGCCUUGCGGCCGUACUCCCCAGGCGGGGCACUUAACGCGUAAGCUGCGACACGGAGAGGGCCGAUCCCCCCCGCAUCCAGUGCCCAUCGUUUACAGCGUGGACUAC